AGGGGGGGCGGGCCUUAACCAUGCAAGUCGAACGGUAACAGGAAGAAGCUUGCUUCUUUGCUGAUUAGUGGCGGACGGGUGAGUAAUGUCUGGGAAACUGCCUGAUGGAGGGGGAUAACUACUGGAAACGGUAGCUAAUACCGCAUAACGUCGCAAGACCAAAGAGGGGGACCUUCGGGCCUCUUGCCAUCGGAUGUGCCCAGAUGGGAUUAGCUAGUAGGUGGGGUAACGGCUCACCUAGGCGACGAUCCCUAGCUGGUCUGAGAGGAUGACCAGCCACACUGGAACUGAGACACGGUCCAGACUCCUACGGGAGGCAGCAGUGGGGAAUAUUGCACAAUGGGCGCAAGCCUGAUGCAGCCAUUCCGCGUGUAUGAAGAAGGCCUUCGGGUUGUAAAGUACUUUCAGCGGGGAGGAAGGGAGUAAAGUUAAUACCUUUGCUCAUUGACGUUACCCGCAGAAGAAGCACCGGCUAACUCCGUGCCAGCAGCCGCGGUAAUACGGAGGGUGCAAGCGUUAAUCGGAAUUACUGGGCGUAAAGCGCACGCAGGCGGUUUGUUAAGUCAGAUGUGAAAAUCCCCCGGGCUUCAACCCUGGGAAACUGCAUCCUGAUACUGGCAAGCUUUGAAUCCUCGUAGAGGGGGGGGUAGAAAUUCCCAGGGUGGUAGCGGGUG
rnacentral:rRNA from 1 species